rnacentral:rRNA from 1 species
CCUACGGGAGGCAGCAGUGAGGAAUAUUGGUCAAUGGGCGCGAGCCUGAACCAGCCAAGUAGCGUGAAGGAUGACUGCCCUACGGGUUGUAAACUUCUUUUAUAAGGGAAUAACGUGAGGUACGUGUGCCUUUUUGUAUGUACUUUAUGAAUAAGGACCGGCUAACUCCGUGCCAGCAGCCGCGGUAAUACGGAGGGUCCGGGCGUUAUCCGGAUUUAUUGGGUUUAAAGGGAGCGUAGGUGGGUUGUUAUGUCUGUUGUGAAAGGUUGGGGCUCAACCGUGGAAUUGCAAUUGGUACUGGCAUUCUUGAGUACAGGUGAGGUAGGCGGAAUUCGUGGUGUAGCGGUGAAAUGCUUAGAUAUCACGAAGAACUCCGAUUGCGAAGGCAGCUUACUGAAGUGCCACUGACAUUGAUGCUCGAAAGUGUGGGUAUCGAACAGGAUUAGAUACCCGGGUAGUC